CUUAGGAUUUUGGGACAACAAUGAUCUUCAUUCUCUACUAUGAUUCUGCACCCGAACUGUUUCCUACUUUUUAGGAGUAAAAGCAGUUCCUUCCCAAGAAGUCUGUAAAAACUGGAAAGCAUUUUCAUACAUUUCUGUGAAAAUGAUACACAGACCACUGCAGAAUGUGAAAAAUAAGGUCAGCCACAGAACUUCACCCCGGACACUGUUCAUCAGGAAGAU
rnacentral:lncRNA from 1 species